UACGUAGGGGGCGAGCGUUAUCCAGAUUUACUGGGCGUAAAGCGCGUGUAGGCGGCUGGUUAGGUGUGAUGUGAAAUCCUCGGGCUCAACCCGAGAACUGCAUUGCAAACCGGCCUGGCUAGAGUGCAGGAGAGGGAUGCGGAAUUCCAGGUGUAGCGGUGAAAUGCGUAGAUAUCUGGAGGAACACCGGUGGCGAAGGCGGCAUCCUGGACCAAUAUUGACGCUGAGGAGCGAAAGCCAGGGGAGCAAACGGG
rnacentral:rRNA from 1 species